rnacentral:rRNA from 1 species
AUUGAACGCUGGCGGCAUGCCUUACACAUGCAAGUCGAACGGCAGCACGGGAGCAAUCCUGGUGGCGAGUGGCGAACGGGUGAGUAAUAUAUCGGAACGUGCCCAGUCGUGGGGGAUAACGUAGCGAAAGCUACGCUAAUACCGCAUACGAUCUAUAGAUGAAAGCGGGGGAUCGCAAGACCUCGCGCGAUUGGAGCGGCCGAUAUCAGAUUAGGUAGUUGGAGAGGUAAAGGCUCACCAAGCCGACGAUCUGUAGCUGGUCUGAGAGGACGACCAGCCACACUGGGACUGAGACACGGCCCAGACUCCUACGGGAGGCAGCAGUGGGGAAUUUUGGACAAUGGGCGCAAGCCUGAUCCAGCAAUGCCGCGUGCAGGAUGAAGGCCUUCGGGUUGUAAACUGCUUUUGUACGGAGCGAAAAGGCUUCCACUAAUACUGGGGGCUCAUGACGGUACCGUAAGAAUAAGCACCGGCUAACUACGUGCCAGCCGCCGCAGUAACAC